rnacentral:rRNA from 1 species
UACGUAGGGUGCAGGCGUUAAUCGGAAUUACUGGGCGUAAAGCGUGCGCAGGCGGUUUGCUAAGACAGGUGUGAAAUCCCCGGGCUUAACCUGGGAACUGCAUUUGUGACUGCACGGCUGGAGUGCGGCAGAGGGGGAUGGAAUUCCGCGUGUAGCAGUGAAAUGCGUAGAUAUGCGGAGGAACACCGAUGGCGAAGGCAAUCCCCUGGGCCUGCACUGACGCUCAUGCACGAAAGCGUGGGGAGCAAACAGG